CUUUGGUGCACUUUCAGUACCGAGGACAGCGACAGGGAGGGCUAGAAAAGGGUUUAAAACAUGGUAUUCCGAAUAGGAUAAACGGAUCAAGGACCCGGUUCGAAUCACAAAUCAAGUGGAAAAUCGUAGGCUAUUUUUGAAGAAUAUUUUCAGAAGAAACGAAAGUCAACUCGGCUGCGACCAUGAAUGGUAUUAUUCCCAUAAACAGAACCGCCCUGAACUUCACGGGUCUGGGCCAGGGGUUCCCGUACCUCACGGUGACCGAGGAGCCUCUGUACCGGCAGUACCGGCCGGCGCCCCGGGACCUCAUCCCCCUGCCCCGGGCGGUCCUCUACCUGCUGAUGGCCGCCCUGGUGGUGGUAGGGGUCGCCUACGCCAUAGUGGGACAUCUGAUCAAAGACCUGGCCAUCGACAUCACAGAGUGCGUCCUGGGCCCCACUGGCGAGGAGGAGAAGGAGCAGCAGGAGGUGAAACUGCAGCACAGCGCCCCCUGCCCCGCCCAGUCGGUACUGCAGCUGGCCCACGGCAACGCCUUCCACGUGUGGGACACGGACAACAUGGUCAUCUCGCUGCCCGCCGCCGAUGACAGCGCUCCCUGCAGCCCCCUGAUACACGGCGCCAUGCCCUACAUGCCCUCCUUCUUCCCCGGCCACGGCCACAGCCCCCCCCAUCACUACACCGGGCUGGCCUCGCCCCCCUCCCCCACCAGCCCCCAGCCAAUCAGGGAUCAUAGGAUCUAG
rnacentral:lncRNA from 1 species